AUGGAACGUUAUGGUGAGUACAUAACUUCUUUUUUCAAACUGGCCAUUAUUUUGUAUUUAAUGAUCAGCUUUCAUAGACUUGUGAUUAAGAAAGUAAUUCACUAGUUAUCAGCCUACAGUCACUUAUAGUGAAAGCGUUUUAGUAAUUAAAAAGCUCUAAUACACAUCCAUUAAAGCAUUCACCCCUGCCCAUUUUUGCAGUGGCACAUAGGUAUUGUAAUAUCCCACUUUAAACCAUCUAGUUGUAGAUGUUGGGGAUACCCAUUCCACUAUAUCGAAGAAUUUUUCAAACUGCAAGUGCUGUUUUCACAGACUUUUAAAUAUCUUUCCCAUCCACCCACCCAUCUGAAUGCCCAUUAUGUCCUAUCAUAACCCAAGUCCUUUUACAGUGACAGUGGCUGAGAUACAGUUUCCACUGUGGAAAUAAUCCUGUUACUGUAACAACGAUCUUCAUUUGCCAAACACUAGUCCUUAAAAUAUAGAAAGGUGUCCUUUCUUUUUGUAUUUCUUGAAAUAAAAAAAAUGUUCAGUUGUGUCAAAUGCACUUUUUGAACCUUCCACUGCAGUCCCACCACCCUACUACUGCCCCUUAUUUGUAAAACUGGGAGAGCUGUUUCCCCAUUGUGAAGUCCCUGAAAUAAAAAGAAAACGGUUGCUUAUAUUUUUGUAUAUGUAUUGUAAUAUAAAGGUCAGUUCUUCUCUCCACCACCCACUCUCAAAUUUCUGACUGCAAACACACUAUCACACUCCAUUUCCCUAUGCUUAUGCAGAGCUGCAGAACCUUCUGUCUUCCAGAAGAGGGACAUUUUUAAUUCCUUAGAAGCUGACCAGUUGAUGAGGUUAUUUUGUAUUAGGCAUUCAGCAUUUGCACACAAAAGUAUACAGUCCAGUUACCUUAACAAAAGGACUAGUUGUAUUCUAGAAUGUUGGAGCUGAAGUAGUCCCAGAAAGUUUUAACUAAAACAGUUUUGUGUUCAUGCACAUUUUAAAACUUUUAGAAACUUAUCAUUUUCUAUGUAGUUCUUUUUCUUGGAUGUUAAUAAAUGGCCAUAACUUUCAUCAUGAUUAGCUGUUGAAUCCCAAUUCUUGAACCCUAUCACAAACCUUUUGCAGUUUUUCCCAUAAAUGAAAUUUCAUUUUAUUUUCACCAUUUUAAACAGAAUUGUUAAAAAAAACAAUGACACAUUUGAGAGACAGGGCACUAAGCUGAGUAUUCUGAACUCAUAUUCCAGAAUUAUUGCUAGAUGCUAAGUUUAUGGGCUUGACAGCAAUGUAGUAAAUGUCUUUUUGCAACUUUACUAGUUUUCUGUGGCUCAGGUUGAUAUUUUCAGUAUGCCAUCUUUAGAAUUCUUCCUUAUGUGUGAUACCACUGUUGUACUCCAAAUAUUAAUUCAUACAUCACUGUUGCAGUAGCCUAAGCUAAAUGAAUCCUAUCGGUAAGAACUAGCCAGCUUUCAAAGCUAAAGGGCACCUUCCACAUACUUCAGCUUUCAGGAGCUUAAGCAGAGUUCCAUAUAAGGACAGUUAGAGUGCAAAAAGCUACAGAGCUUUUUUGCCACCAAAGAACACUCAUUUGGCAAGCUCCAUGGAACUGUUGAUCUGCUAGUGGUGCUUCAAGGGCAGAUAAGUCCCCUGUUGUGGAAAGACUUUCCACUAAUUUUAUUUCUCUGGAGAAAAUGUGUGUUUUCCUGAAAAAGAUAUGUGUUUUGCCAGGAAACAUGUUGUUUUUGGACUGUCAUUUUAUUUCUAAGAAGUGUAUGUGUAAAUGCUUAUGUGAUAAUUUUUUGACAGGAUUUUUACUGAAGUUUUAUUUAUUUCUGCAUUGGGGAAAGGAUACUGUACUUGUGGGGGGACUGUCAUUGGUUUACUUACCUCUUAUCAACUUGUUCUCUGCUGUACACUGCACUGUCCACUUUCAAAGUGUCUUCCUCUGAGAUUUAACAUUCCCCUGUAAGAAAUAAGGGAAAAAAAUUGUCAGGGAGUUUUUGGGUUUUAGUCCAGCUCCUAUUGUGCCUCAGCCACUGGUGGGUGACUCUGCUGUGGCUACUUGUUAUUCCUCAGACCAUUAAUCUUUUCUCUGUGGUCCUUUUAAUGCAGUAUAUGCAGCCAAGAAAGUCCAGGGGAAUAACCACAUCCUCUGUGGCUGCAGGGAUGCUCUUGGCAAGCAAGGGAGAAUUACGCUUGUAGGUCUCAGAGGAAGGAGCAAGUGAAGGUUCUUCAUUUAGCCACAAUAGGGGACCUGCUGCUGAGACUAGUAUGCUCACAGAGAAUUGGUCCUUUUCCAUGAAAAUGCCCAGGAAAGGGGAACAUAGUGAGAACAUUUUCCAGUCUCUUGUUAACUACUUCUAUGUACAGAGAGGAUUUACUAGGAUUUGUUAAGGAACGUAUUGGUGGUUUUUCCUUGCUUUCUGUUUUCUCAGGCAAGAAAAGGAAGAGUUAUCUCUCUUUCUGACAAGAAUGUCAGUCAGAAGAGCAGGCAUUACAGGAGGAGGGUUGUACCUCAGGGAUUUCUUCACAAUCUUGACAUUCUGAUUCUGAUGAAAGUAUUGUUUUAGAUUUCAUUCCUGAAGAUUUAUCCUUUUCAAAAACAUUAUGUAAGAUGAAAAAGUUUUUUUCAGUGGAAGCAGAAUGAAAUUCCCAUAAGCAUUUUUUUCAAAUCCUAAGCUGACCCAGCUGUGAUUUCUUUAUCCUAAACUUUUUUUGCAAAACAAUUUACCGCUGCUAACCCCAUUCCUUCUGAUGAGGGUAAUGAAUAUGUUUUGGAACAAAAUAUAUUCCUCUGGUAUUUUGACUUACAGGACUUUAACCUGUCAAGCUCAUAUACUAAAGUUUUUACUAUCUUUUGAGAACAUGCAGAAGUCAAUAAUUAACCUUCCCUGUUCCUCAAAUGCCUCUACUACAUUUAAUUCUCAAAUGAGUAAGCACACUUUAAAGCUUGCCUAUGAUGAUUCUUCCCCUAGAGCUGGUGCUUCUGGGUCAGUAUUAAGAAGACUAGCUUGACUUUGUUCUCAAGAUCUACCUGAAUAUGUUAAAACUGAAUUUUUAAAUUCUCUCUUAGAUAAGACGUCUCUGUUUGAUUCUUUCACAGCUGAGGUCUUAGUGAUGAAAGGGGAAAGUUAAUGCAACAAGUGAGUCAGAUUUUAAAAGUCUUCUUUUUCAAAGGAAAUUUCUCUUUCACAUUACCUCAAUAAGUCAUUUAAGUAGCAAGGGGCUAGUAAAUACAUUUUUUAAAAAAGCAAUGGUAAGGAAGUUCUAAAAAGAAAGAAAAAGCAGCAAAAAGCCAAGGGCGAUCACCUCAGUCAGUAUGAUUGUGUGCCUCCUUAGGCUCUGCCCCUCCCACCCUGGCAACCACUCCAUCUCUCUGAGGCUUCAUCUUCCCUUGUGGCUCCAGAUUGUAACAGAUAUAUAGGUUAACAAUGUCAUCCGUCAGAGAUACACUCGGUAAUGGUAAUUCCUUUCCACUUCCUAGGGAAUUUCUCCUUACCCACGGACCCAGGUUUCUCUCUUUCCUCCCAUUCUGCACCAUAUAUUGGCCACUGGAGUUAUAGAAUUUGUACUUCCCUGCCGCUUGGGCAAAAAAUUCUAUUUGAGGAUUUUUCUGAUAUUUAGGAGGGAGGACUGCUGGAAGAUUGUACUAGACAUUUCCUUUCUAAAUCAUUUUGUCAAGAUUCCUAAGUUUAAAAUGUUAGCCUUUCAACCCCUUCUUAGUCUAAUCCUCUCCCCAUAGCAUUCAAAGAUAGAUUUAAAAGAUGCCUAUUAUCACAUUCCCAUUGCUGAGCAAUUCAGGCAUUUUUAAAGUUUUGUUGUGUUUGGGUUAAAUUAUCAGUUCCCUAUCUUAUCCUUUGGACACUGUACCAAGGAUAUUCACAAAGUGUCUUGCUCCAGUCAUUGCUUAUUGCAGGCUUCAAGGCAUUUAUGUACAUAUUUCUAUAUUUUAAUGAUUGUGUUAUUUUUGCAGACUGUUUUCUAUUUGUCAGGAGUCUUUAUACAUUGUUCAUAAUCUUCUACUCAUUCUGGGUUUUCAAAUUAGACUUCA